rnacentral:tRNA from 1 species
GGAUUGUGGCUCAGCGGUAGAGUGCUCAAUUCGCAUAUGCGGGACCCUGGGUUCGAUCCUCAGCACCA